UGGGGAAUUUUGCGCAAUGGGGGAAACCCUGACGCAGCAACGCCGCGUGAGUGAUGAAGGCCUUCGGGUCGUAAAGCUCUUUUAGUGGGGAAGAACCCCUUUCGGGCGAAUAACCCGGGAGGAUGACGGUACCCACAGAAAAAGUUCCGGCUAACUACGUGCCAGCAGCCGCGGUAAUACGUAGGGAGCAAGCGUUGUUCGGAAUUAUUGGGCGUAAAGAGCGCGUAGGCGGUUUGGUAAGUCUGACGUGAAAUCCCGGAGCUCAACUCCGGAACUGCGUUGGAUACUGCCAGGCUUGAGUGUGGGAGAGGAGAGUGGAAUUCCCAGUGUAGAGGUGAAAUUCGUAGAUAUUGGGAGGAACACCCGUGGCGAAGGCGGCUCUCUGGACCACAACUGACGCUGAGGCGCGAAAGCUAGGGUAGCAAACGGG
rnacentral:rRNA from 1 species